GAGCACGUAGGUGGGUUUGUAAGUCAGAGGUGAAAGCCUGGAGCUCAACUCCAGAACUGCCUUUGAGACUGCAUCGCUUGAAUCCAGGAGAGGUGAGUGGAAUUCCGAGUGUAGAGGUGAAAUUCGUAGAUAUUCGGAAGAACACCAGUGGCGAAGGCGGCUCACUGGACUGGUAUUGACGCCGAGGUGCGAAAGCGUGGGGAGCAAACAGGAUUAGAUACCCUGGUAAUCCACGCCGUAAACGAUGAUAACUAGCUGUCCGGGCACUAAGUAGAGGGG
rnacentral:rRNA from 1 species